UGGCUGAGAAAUGUUCCAUGGGUGUUGAUUAUUUUUUUGUAAACCGCACACCUAACCUUUUUAGUGUCUAAAAAAAGGCACCAGAGCAAUGUUUGUGGUAACCGUGGUAUAAGAGGAAUAUUUGACUCUGGUCCUUUGAAUUAUUUGAAAAUCCGCUUUGCGUCGUGCUGCAUUGCACCUUGGGUGUGCAUUAUUUUCUUAUAAUUCAAUGGCCCGUCGUCAAUUAUUCCUUACUCAAUGUUUAACACAGAGAGAGUGAAGUUAUUUCAUCUUUCUUGUAUGAGUUAUUGAUUAUUGAUGUGAUUGUCAGCCAACAGUCGUCCUAAAGUGAUCGUCCUGCCGCCGUCCAGUGAAGAGAUUUCCACAAAGCAAGCAGCAACACUGAUGUGUGUGGCCAACAAGGGCUUCCCCUCAGACUGGAGUCUGAACUGGAAGGUGGACGGGAUCAGCAGCAGGUCUCAGUACAGCAGUGUUGCUCUCCUGGAGAAGGACGGUCUGUACAGCUGGAGCAGCAGUCUGACUCUCUCUGAGCAGGAGUGGAGCUCAGUGAUCUCAGUCAGCUGUGAGCUCACACAGAAAGACCAGCGUGAUAAAGUCACUGGAGAAUUGAGGAGAGAUCAGUGUUCACAGUAGAUCCACUCACUCUCUCCUCUGUCUCACAUCAAGACUAACAGACUAACUGUGUUUC